AGAGGAGCAUGGAAUUUCCGGUGUAGCGGUAAAAUGCGCAGAUAUCGGAAGGAACACCAGUGGCGAAGGCGGUGCUCUGGGGUGUGCCUGACGCUGAGAGACGAAAGCUAGGGGAGCGAACAGGAUUAGAGACCCUGGUAGUCCUAGCCCUAAACGAUGGAUGCUAGAUGUGGGGCCGAGAAGGCUCCGUGUCGCAGUUAACGCGGUAAGCAUCCCGCCUGGGGAUUACGGCCGCAAGGCUAAAACUCAAACGAAUUGACGGGGCCCCGCACAAGCAGCGGAGCGUGUGGUUUAAUUCGAUGCUACACGAAGAACCUUACCUGGGUUUGACAUGUAAGUGGUAGUGAAGCGAAAGCGGAGCGACCCUUCGGGGAGCUUACACAGGUGCUGCAUGGCUGUCGUCAGCUCGUGCCGUGAGGUGUCGGGUUAAGUCCCGUAACGAGCGCAACCCUUGCCCUUAGUUACAAGUGUCUAAGGGGACUGCCGGCGGUAAGCCGGAGGAAGGUGGGGAUGACGUCAAGUCAGCAUGGCCCUUAUAUCCAGGGCUACACACACGCUACAAUGGUCAGUACAAAGGGCAGCGAAGCCGCGAGGUGAAGCGAAUCCCACCAAAGCUGAUCUAAGUUCGGAUUGCAGGCUGCAACUCGCCUGCAUGAAGCUGGAGUUGCUAGUAACCGCGCGUCAGCCAUAGUGCGGUGAAUACGUUCCCGGGGCUUGUACACACCGCCCGUCACGUCAUGGGAGUCGGUAACGCCUGAAGCUGGUAGUCUGGCCCU
rnacentral:rRNA from 1 species